UACGUAGGGUGCAAGCGUUAAUCGGAAUUACUGGGCGUAAAGCGUGCGCAGGCGGUUUUGUAAGUCAGAUGUGAAAUCCCCGGGCUUAACCUGGGAACUGCGUUUGAAACUACAAGGCUAGAGUGUGACAGAGGGGUGGAAUUCCACGUGUAGCAGUGAAAUGCGUAGAGAUGUGGAGGAACACCGAUGGCGAAGGCAGCCCCCUGGGUUAACACUGACGCUCAGGCACGAAAGCGUGGGGAGCAAACAGG
rnacentral:rRNA from 1 species